rnacentral:tRNA from 1 species
GCCUUAGCUCAAUUGGGGAGAGCAUUAGACUGAAGAUGUUUACGCAACUAUCAUCUAAAGGCCCCCCGGUUCAAUCCCGGGUUCCGGCA